rfam:Triticum aestivum genome assembly, contig: Triticum_aestivum_CS42_TGACv1_scaffold_374203_5AL
UAGCAAAUUUCUCCGUCCGGAAAUAUUUGUCGGAGAAAUGGAUGUAUGUAGAUGUAUUUUAUUUCUAGAUGCAUCUAUUUUUAUCCAUUUCGCCGACGAGUAUUUUCGAACGGAGGGAGUAUUAU